rnacentral:rRNA from 1 species
ACGCUCGACACCUACUGGAGGCAGCAGUGGGGAAUAUUGCACAAUGGGGGAAACCCUGAUGCAGCGACGCCGCGUGAGCGAAGAAGUAUUUCGGUAUGUAAAGCUCUAUCAGCAGGGAAGAAAAUGACGGUACCUGACUAAGAAGCCCCGGCUAACUACGUGCCAGCACCACGGUAAUCUGAGCGGGCUGGCAAGGC